UACGUGGGGUGCAAGCGUUGUUCGGAAUCAUUGGGCGUAAAGCGGGCGUAGGCGGCCCGGAAGGUCGGAUGUGAAAGCCCAGGGCUCGACCCUGGAACUGCGUUCGAAACCACCGGGCUUGAAUCCGGAAGAGGGUCGUGGAAUUACGGGUGUAGAGGUGAAAUUCGUAGAUAUCCGUAAGAACAUCAGUGGCGAAGGCGACGACCUGGUUCGAGAUUGACGCUGAGGCCCGAAAGCGUGGGGAGCAAACAGG
rnacentral:misc_RNA from 1 species